CAGUUCGCAGAAUAAACACUGAGGGACUGCUCCCUUUGCCAUUGACCGCUCUGCGUCAGAAGCCACGCAGACCCGUUUCAGGUGCACCCAGUUCCUCUCCUUCUCCACCACUCCUGCUGCCAUGGCUGUCCCGUGCACAGCUGCCGCCGUCCUCAGCCUGCUCUCGCUGACCGCAGCUGCCCCGUCCGGCUGCGAGGACGCGCUCACACCCCUGGAGACGGUCAACCACUCUCAGAAUUCUGGGAAAUGGUUCCUUGUUGGAGGAGCUUGUGAAUGCAAGAAAACGCAAACCUGUCUGAGAAAUAUAGAGAAUGCCUGGAUGGAAAUGAUAGUUAACCCUCAGCGUGACAAAAUUUUUCUCAAUGCUGCUGCCAAGAUCAAUGGAUCAUGUCAUUUUUUUCUUGAAAACAUAGAAAUUGUUAAAGCCUCUCUCCUAUUUGACCCUGAACGGGUUGACGACUUGGUCCAUCUAUACAACUGUCCCAGCUGCUUGCUCAUGAAAUUCAACAACACUGAAGACGGGAAAACCAUUCAUUGUGUACAGCUGUGGGCAAGAACCAGGAAUCUCAGUGUUGCGGAGCUGGAUGCACACAAACGCCGAAUGGAGUGUUUUGGCUUAGGAGGCUUGAUCUUGAAGGACCCUGACACAGACCUCUGUCCCAACAACCUGAACUUCUCAUCCAAAGUCUGGUCUAUGAAGCACCAGCUGACCUCUGAGACCCCGCUCAACUGUGAGAAUUUGCUCAGACCGCAGUAUCCGAGUGACCUUACUCAGGUGUCGGGAAACUGGUUCCUUAUUGCCGAAGCAGACAAUAAUUCUAGAAGUUCUAUGGCAGAAGUGGAAAGUGUCUGGAUGAAGAUAUCGCCAACACCACAGAAUGGCACCUUCUACAUCAACACUAUAAUCAAGACCCAUAAGGGUUGUGAGAUAUACAGGACCAACAGAACCAUCGCCCACAAUACUAUCACAGCAGUUUCUUCAGGCAUUGGUCCAAAACAGCAUGUGAUGGAGCUGCUCAGCUGGUCCGACUCUCUGCUCUUGAAGUUCAGCCACAAUGCACAGAGCAAGGUGAUCUUGCAGCUGCAUAUCUGGGGAAGAACCAGGACCCUGCCUGAUUCUGUCAUGGACACGUUCAGGAGACAAGUGAACUGCCUGGACCUGGGACUCCAAGAGUUCAUGGACCCCGAGAAAGAUGUGUGUCCCGAAAAGGAGAUCUCCUCAACCAAAUAAGACCUCAACACACACCAGCAGUCCAAGAGCGACUGAUGAUGUAUCUUGAAAACGCAUGUCAGUUAUACAAGAGUGAACCAGUAGUGUUAGUGUUAACAGGUUAAAACAGUACCCCACUUCUCAGCUGCUAAUGCCGGAGGUAAGCAAAGGUGCGCAGUCCAGAAAAAAGGACAUUUUACUCAUUUACUCAGCUGGGUAAUUUUUACUGUAUCUGUUCAGGGUAAGUACCUUGACUGACCGAUUUCAAAAAAAGAGUACUCCUGUGUGACAUUCUUACUGACCAUUACUCCUUGUGUCAUUAGCACAUUAACUGAAAUUUAACGUGUUCAUUAAUCAAUUCAAACUGAAAUUUAUUAAUUAAAUACAUUUGUAAAUGUUCUACGACCCAUUAUAACAGUCACCGGUGACACUAAAGCACCUUUCAUUCGCCGCACCUUUAGUGUUUUUUUUAUGAAUCUAACCGGUUCACCCGGCCACACCCGAUGC
rnacentral:lncRNA from 1 species